rnacentral:lncRNA from 1 species
AAUAAUAGUGGUGACAAUGAACAUGUAAGAAGAAUUGUUUUUUUUUUAUUGCAAUUGAAAAAAAAACCUUAAAAAAUUAAAUGAGCUAAAAAUUUUAUUUUUUUACAUAGAGGGGCAGUUUUAUCAUUCAAUCAAAAGUUAAACGGAGACGUUAAACUUAACUGGGAAAAUAACGGAAUUGGGGGCGUGGUGCAAAAAUAUCAAUUUUUUUAGGUGCGCAGUGUAAUAAGUCAAAUUUAUUGGGGACCUGAUGUAAAAUAUCAAUUUAUUUAGGGGUAGGUUACAAAUUUCCCUUAGAAAAUGUUUAUAUAUAUUUUGACGUCUGGAGAACAAUAAAUGUGACAAUAAAUGUGAAAAUGACUUGAUGGGAUACCCACGUGCAUGCCGACAUGCAUGUCUUUAUGGACAAAUGUAUCACAUGCUCAAGACUUGUCGAACCAGGCCAAAUUGAUACGUUAUACGUACAUGCAUACGUAUAUAUUCUUGGUUGAGAUCUUCAGUUAGAACUCAUAGAUUUUAAACAUCAUUUCUGAAUUAAAUGUGAACUUCAUAUACAUAAUAAAAAAAUAUAAUUCCCCAGAAAUAUAUAUAUUUAUGCUCAAACUUGAAAGAAAAGUUAAAUUAAUAAUCAGUUUUGUUGAUUGACUGUGUACACAUAUUUCGCUGCGUCUAAACUGUUGACCAACAGCCACCAUAUUUGCAGUGUUCAUAAUGGCAAUGAAUUAAUAACGUCAAGCCCAUGUGAGAGCUUUCGGUUGGUUGGAUGCUAUCACCGGCCUAUUAAUUUCUUCCUCUCAACUUCAUUCAUUCUCAAAAUAUUAUAUUGAAUUUAACAAUUUUAUAUCCCAAGACCAAGUCAAGAUUCUACUGUUACAAGUAUUUGAUAGGAUCCAUUUGCAAGUAAUCAUUCAUAAGUUCUCUCUAUUUCUGAAAGACUUUAUGCCGUAUGCUUUGCUUUGGCAUCGAUUCUUUUGUCUAUGAAUUCAUGGAGCAUUUCCAUUUGGCAUCUUUUUGUGGGACAAGUACUUAUAUUCAAUUCUUCUUUACGUUAUAAUUUGGUCGAUCAAGCACGGCUUUCAAAGGGAUAUAUUCAUGUUCUUCAAUUUAAUGUUCUUUUUUUCCUUCUUUUCAAAUGACAAUAUAUAAUAAAUUAAAAAUAUGCAAGAACCUUGAUGAUGCAGUCGAGAUAUCAUGACUCACAAUAAAUUUCAUGUACUUCUAAACAUCUGAAAGAAAGUUUACUCCCAAUUUUACAUACACGAGGACUUGAUCCAAGCAAGAGGCAAAUUGGAUGAUUCCUUUCUCUCAAAAGUUUUUCAUCGAAAUAUAACUAUUGUACAUGAAUUUCGUACGCCUGUUUCGAUUAAAUUCUAUGAAAUGAUUGUGUUAUUUAAUGAAAUGAUACGAUGGUUUUAUCGAAACCUUUUUGUAGUCUCGCUAAAAUAGGGUUUAACAAAACCAGGCGUUAAAGCAGUUAGGGUUUCGAGUUGUAUGGCUAUGGCAAUUAAUUAUGAAAAGAGAUAGCUUAAAGAGGCAGCAAAGGCCUCAAAAAGCAGGCACGAGAGAAGCUAACCCACAAGGACAAAAAAGCGUGGUUCAUCAAUCAUCACAUCAAAACCUAAGAGUGCUAUAAGAACCACGCCUGCGGAGGGUAUUUGAUUGUGUUGAAUUUUUUACCAACUUUUUAAAAAGAUACAAUUAGUAGUUACUAAAUAAAAAUAUAAACUUAAUUAAAUUUUAUUUAUAUAUUAUUAUAGGAAAAUUAUCAAUCAUAUACUCUUAAAUGACACUUGUAUCAAACGUGUGUGAACACUUUUCAAGUGUAUCACUCGUAUACCCUAAGUUGACAAAAUAUUUUUGCCGUCCAUCAAUCUGUUAACUUCCGUUAGAAAGUUAACAGAAUUAUGGCAAAUUGACUAUUUUGCCCUUAAAACUCAAAAUGAGGUAAAAAAAUAAAUUUACCCUAAAAAUUAACGUAAAUUUUCAAUACACAAUUUUUUUAUUUUUUUAUUAAUAAUACAUUUUUUAUUAAAAAAAUAAAUUAUUAAUGGUACAUAUUAUUAACAAUUAUCUAUAAAAAAAUAUCCAUAUUAUACCAUAAAAAAUUAUUAACAACAUAUUAUUUACAAUUAUACAUAUUGCACCAUAAAAAUUUCCAGUUGGAGUUUGGAGGAGUAGAUCUUCAAAAAUGUAGGUUAAAUUUUGGAGGAGUAGAUUUGGUUGUAAAAUAUUUUUUUUAGCAAUUAUUAAUAAUUAUCGGAUAAAUGGGAUGACAUGUCAUUUUUAUCAAUAUAUAUCAUAUGUCAUGUCAUUUUUUACUAGGCAAAUAGGAUGACAUGUCAUUUUUUUAAUAAAAAUUUCGUCAAUCUUAAAAGACUAGAUUACCCUUAUAAUGUCAACGCUUGCAAACGGAAGUUAACGGAUUGGUGGACGGCAUAAGUGUUUUGUCAACUUAGGGUAUACGAGUGAUACACUUGAAAAGUGCUCACACACGUUUGAUACGGGUGUCAUUUAAGGGUAUAAGGCUGAAAAUUUCCUAUUAUUAUAUAUGUACGUAUUAUAAACAAUUGAUUACAAUUCAGCUCAACAUUAAAUUCAAGAGAAAUUAUCAAUCGUAUACCCUUAGUUUACUUCUUAUCAAAUUUAUCACAACACUUUCAGGGCAUAUCAGUUGUCCACCUUAAGUUGACAAAAUGUAUAUGCCGUCCACCAAACCGUUAGUUGCCGUUUAAAUAUGAUGACGUUAGAGGGGUAAUUUGGUCUUUUCAUAUGAUACAAGUGAUAAUUUUAGGGUAUAUAAGUGAUAAUAAAAGAUUUUAAAGGUAUAUAAGUGAUAAUUUUUAAGUGUAAAAUCAUCAAUUCGCUACAACUCUGUUAACUUUCAAAUGACAGCUAACAGUUUAGUGGUCGGCAUAUAACUUUUGUCAAUUUAGGGUAGACGAUUGAUGCACUCUUAAAAGUGUUAUAAUAUUUUUAAUAAAAGAAUAAAUUUAGCGUAAACCAAUGAUAAUUUUCCUAAAUUAAAUCCAUAAUUGAUAUACAUGAUUGUUCAAGAUAGCAAGUGAUUCUAGAUCGGUUUCAUUAGUCGGGUGUACCUUUCCAAACCGGAAUUUUGGGUUGGGUUGCAUUAACUUUCUUGAUGAAGAAACCAAUUGGCACGUGACAGUUGAUACUCGGCCAAUAAACAAGUAGUAAUUAACGGUUUGGUUUGGUUGGUACUGUGAUUUGAUGUGAGAUCGUUGGUGCAAAAUUAUGAUUUUGCCCCAUAUUUGAAUUAUAAAGAGUUAGAGCUGUCAAAACAAGUUAUCGGGUCGUGUUCAUAUCGUAUUAAAUUUAGGUCGACCCAAAUCUGACCCAUUUAAUAAUCGUGUCAAAAUAUUAAGACCCAAAUCUGAUACGGAAAAAUAAUCAAGUUACCCAAUAACCCGCUUAAUAUCUAUACAUUGAAUAAAAUUUAUAUCAAAUAUUUAUAUACUGUCAUACAUACAUAAUUU